rnacentral:rRNA from 1 species
UACAGAGGUGGCAAGCGUUGUUCGGAAUUACUGGGCGUAAAGGGCGCGUAGGCGGCCUCUUUAGUCAGACGUGAAAUCCCCCGGCUUAACCUGGGAACUGCGUCUGAUACUGGGAGGCUAGAGUUCGGGAGAGGGAUGUAGAAUUCCAGGUGUAGCGGUGAAAUGCGUAGAUAUCGUAAGGAAGACCAGUGGCGAAGGCGGGUCUCUGGACAGUUCCUGACGCUGAGGCACGAAGGUCAGGGGAGCAAACGGG